CGAAGCGUGCGAUUGGAUUGCACGUCUAAGCAGUAAGGCUGAGUAUUAGGCAAAUCCGGUACUCAUUAAGGCUGAGCUGUGAUGGGGAGAAGACAUUGUGUCUUCGAGUCGUUGAUUUCACACUGCCGAGAAAAGCCUCUAGAUAGAAAAUAGGUGCCCGUACCGCAAACCGACACAGGUAGUCAAGAUGAGAAUUCUAAGGUGAGCGAGCGAACUCUCGUUAAGGAACUCGGCAAAAUGACCCCGUAACUUCGGGAGAAGGGGUGCUCUUUAGGGUUAACGCCCAGAAGAGCCGCAGUGAAUAGGCCCAAGCGACUGUUUAUCAAAAACACAGGUCUCUGCUAAACCGUAAGGUGAUGUAUAGGGGCUGACGCCUGCCCGGUGCUGGAAGGUUAAGAGGAGUGGUUAGCUUCUGCGAAGCUACGAAUCGAAGCCCCAGUAAACGGCGGCCGUAACUAUAACGGUCCUAAGGUAGCGAAAUUCCUUGUCGGGUAAGUUCCGACCCGCACGAAAGGCGUAACGAUUUGGGCACUGUCUCAACGAGAGACUCGGUGAAAUCAUAGUACCUGUGAAGAUGCAGGUUACCCGCGACAGGACGGAAAGACCCCGUGGAGCUUUACUGUAGCCUGAUAUUGAAAUUCGGCACAGCUUGUACAGGAUAGGUAGGAGCCUUUGAAACGUGAGCGCUAGCUUACGUGGAGGCGCUGGUGGGAUACUACCCUAGCUGUGUUGGCUUUCUAACCCGCACCACUUAUCGUGGUGGGAGACAGUGUCAGGCGGGCAGUUUGACUGGGGCGGUCGCCUCCUAAAAGGUAACGGAGGCGCUCAAAGGUUCCCUCAGAAUGGUUGGAAAUCAUUCAUAGAGUGUAAAGGCAUAAGGGAGCUUGACUGCGAGACCUACAAGUCGAGCAGGGUCGAAAGACGGACUUAGUGAUCCGGUGGUUCCGCAUGGAAGGGCCAUCGCUCAACGGAUAAAAGCUACCCCGGGGAUAACAGGCUUAUCUCCCCCAAGAGUUCACAUCGACGGGGAGGUUUGGCACCUCGAUGUCGGCUCAUCGCAUCCUGG
rnacentral:rRNA from 1 species